rnacentral:rRNA from 1 species
CACGUAGGGGGCAAGCGUUGUCCGGAUUUAUUGGGCGUAAAGAGCUCGUAGGCGGUUCGGUAAGUCGGGUGUGAAACCUCCAGGCUCAACCUGGAGACGCCACCCGAUACUGCUGUGACUAGAGUCCGGUAGGGGAGCGUGGAAUUCCUGGUGUAGCGGUGAAAUGACGCAGAUAUCAGGAGGAACACCAGCGGCGAAGGCGGCGCUCUGGGCCGGAACUGACGCUGAGGAGCGAAAGCGUGGGGAGCAAACAGG